AGAGUUUGAUCAUGGCUCAGAUUGAACGCUGGCGGCAGGCCUAACACAUGCAAGUCGAACGGUAACAGGAAACAGCUUGCUGUUUCGCUGACGAGUGGCGGACGGGUGAGUAAUGUCUGGGAAACUGCCUGAUGGAGGGGGAUAACUACUGGAAACGGUAGCUAAUACCGCAUAACGUCGCAAGACCAAAGAGGGGGACCCUCGGGCCUCUUGCCAUCGGAUGUGCCCAGAUGGGAUUAGCUUGUUGGUGGGGUAACGGCUCACCAAGGCGACGAUCCCUAGCUGGUCUGAGAGGAUGACCAGCCACACUGGAACUGAGACACGGUCCAGACUCCUACGGGAGGCAGCAGUGGGGAAUAUUGCACAAUGGGCGCAAGCCUGAUGCAGCCAUGCCGCGUGUAUGAAGAAGGCCUUCGGGUUGUAAAGUACUUUCAGCGGGGAGGAAGGGAGUAAAGUUAAUACCUUUGCUCAUUGACGUUACCCGCAGAAGAAGCACCGGCUAACUCCGUGCCAGCAGCCGCGGUAAUACGGAGGGUGCAAGCGUUAAUCGGAAUUACUGGGCGUAAAGCGCACGCAGGCGGUUUGUUAAGUCAGAUGUGAAAUCCCCGGGCUCAACCUGGGAACUGCAUCUGAUACUGGCAAGCUUGAGUCUCGUAGAGGGGGGUAGAAUUCCAGGUGUAGCGGUGAAAUGCGUAGAGAUCUGGAGGAAUACCGGUGGCGAAGGCGGCCCCCUGGACGAAGACUGACGCUCAGGUGCGAAAGCGUGGGGAGCAAACAGGAUUAGAUACCCUGGUAGUCCACGCCGUAAACGAUGUCGACUUGGAGGUUGUGCCCUUGAGGCGUGGCUUCCGGAGCUAACGCGUUAAGUCGACCGCCUGGGAGUACGGCCGCAAGGUUAAAACUCAAAUGAAUUGACGGGGGCCCGCACAAGCGGUGGAGCAUGUGGUUUAAUUCGAUGCAACGCGAAGAACCUUACCUGGUCUUGACAUCCACGGAAGUUUUCAGAGAUGAGAAUGUGCCUUCGGGAACCGUGAGACAGGUGCUGCAUGGCUGUCGUCAGCUCGUGUUGUGAAAUGUUGGGUUAAGUCCCGCAACGAGCGCAACCCUUAUCCUUUGUUGCCAGCGGUCCGGCCGGGAACUCAAAGGAGACUGCCAGUGAUAAACUGGAGGAAGGUGGGGAUGACGUCAAGUCAUCAUGGCCCUUACGACCAGGGCUACACACGUGCUACAAUGGCGCAUACAAAGAGAAGCGACCUCGCGAGAGCAAGCGGACCUCAUAAAGUGCGUCGUAGUCCGGAUUGGAGUCUGCAACUCGACUCCAUGAAGUCGGAAUCGCUAGUAAUCGUGGAUCAGAAUGCCACGGUGAAUACGUUCCCGGGCCUUGUACACACCGCCCGUCACACCAUGGGAGUGGGUUGCAAAAGAAGUAGGUAGCUUAACCUUCGGGAGGGCGCUUACCACUUUGUGAUUCAUGACUGGGGUGAAGUCGGAACAAGGUAACCGUAGGGGAACCUGCGGUUG
rnacentral:rRNA from 1 species